UAGAGUAAAGGGCAAACCGAUCGAAAGGUCGGGACGCAAAGCCACCGGUCUAAGGGUGUAGAUACCUAAGACAGCGGAGCUGCCAAC
rnacentral:ncRNA from 2 species